rnacentral:rRNA from 1 species
CCUACGGGUGGCAGCAGUAGGGAAUCUUCCACAAUGGGCGAAAGCCUGAUGGAGCAACGCCGCGUGGGUGAAGAAGGUCUUCGGAUCGUAAAACCCUGUUGUUAGAGAAGAAAGUGCGUGAGAGUAACUGUUCACGUUUCGACGGUAUCUAACCAGAAAGCCACGGCUAACUACGUGCCAGCAGCCGCGGUAAGACGUAGGUGGCAAGCGUUAUCCGGUUUUAUUGGGCGUAAAGGGAACGCAGGCGGUCUUUUAAGUCUGAUGUGAAAGCCUUCGGCUUAACCGGAGUAGUGCAUUGGAAACUGGGAGACGUGAGUGCAGAAGAGGAGAGUGGAACUCGAUGUGUAGCGGUGAAAUGCAUAGAUAUAUGGAAGAACACCAGUGGCGAAAGCAGCUCUCUGGUCUGUAACUGACGCUGAGGUUCGAAAGCGUGGGUAGCAAACAGGAUUAGAUACCCGUGUAGUC